GACAGAGGGUGCAAGCGUUGUUCGGAAUUAUUGGGCGUAAAGGGCGCGUAGGCGGCACUAUAAGUCUGAUGUGAAAUCCCGGGGCUUAACCCCGGAAGUGCAUCGGAUACUGUUGUGCUUGAGUUUCGGAGAGGGUGGUGGAAUUCCCAGUGUAGAGGUGAAAUUCGUAGAUAUUGGGAGGAACACCGGUGGCGAAGGCGACCACCUGGACGAAUACUGACGCUGAGGCGCGAAAGCGUGGGGAUCAAACAGG
rnacentral:rRNA from 1 species